rnacentral:rRNA from 1 species
GUUAUAUGGUCAAGUGAAGAAGCGCAUACGGUGGAUGCCUUGGCAGUCAGAGGCGAUGAAAGACGUGGUAGCCUGCGAAAAGCUUCGGGGAGUCGGCAAACAGACUUUGAUCCGGAGAUGUCUGAAUGGGGGAACCCAGCCAUCAUAAGAUGGUUAUCUUGUACUGAAUACAUAGGUGCAAGAGGCGAACCAGGGGAACUGAAACAUCUAAGUACCCUGAGGAAAAGAAAUCAACCGAGAUUCCCUUAGUAGUGGCGAGCGAACGGGGACUAGCCCUUAAGUGGCUUUGAGAUUAGCGGAACGCUCUGGAAAGUGCGGCCAUAGUGGGUGAUAGCCCUGUACGCGAAAGUCUCUUAGUCAUGAAAUCGAGUAGGACGGAGCACGAGAAACUUUGUCUGAAUAUGGGGGGACCAUCCUCCAAGGCUAAAUACUACUGACUGACCGAUAGUGAACUAGUACCGUGAGGGAAAGGCGAAAAGAACCCCGGAGAGGGGAGUGAAAUAGAUCCUGAAACCGUAUGCGUACAAGCAGUGGGAGCAGACUUUGUUCUGUGACUGCGUACCUUUUGUAUAAUGGGUCAGCGACUUAUUUUCAGUGGCGAGCUUAACCGAAUAGGGGAGGCGUAGCGAAAGCGAGUCUUAAUAGGGCGUCUAGUCGCUGGGAAUAGACCCGAAACCGGGCGAUCUAUCCAUGGGCAGGUUGAAGGUUAGGUAACACUGACUGGAGGACCGAACCGACUACCGUUGAAAAGUUAGCGGAUGACCUGUGGAUCGGAGUGAAAGGCUAAUCAAGCUCGGAGAUAGCUGGUUCUCCUCGAAAGCUAUUUAGGUAGCGCCUCAUGUAUCACUGUAGGGGGUAGAGCACUGUUUCGGCUAGGGGGUCAUCCCGACUUACCAAACCGAUGCAAACUCCGAAUACCUACAAGUGCCGAGCAUGGGAGACACACGGCGGGUGCUAACGUCCGUCGUGAAAAGGGAAACAACCCAGACCGUCAGCUAAGGUCCCAAAGUUAUGGUUAAGUGGGAAACGAUGUGGGAAGGCUUAGACAGCUAGGAGGUUGGCUUAGAAGCAGCCACCCUUUAAAGAAAGCGUAAUAGCUCACUAGUCGAGUCGGCCUGCGCGGAAGAUGUAACGGGGCUCAAACCAUACACCGAAGCUACGGGUAUCACGCAAGUGAUGCGGUAGAGGAGCGUUCUGUAAGCCUGUGAAGGUGAGUUGAGAAGCUUGCUGGAGGUAUCAGAAGUGCGAAUGCUGACAUGAGUAACGACAAUGGGUGUGAAAAACACCCACGCCGAAAGACCAAGGUUUCCUGCGCAACGUUAAUCGACGCAGGGUUAGUCGGUCCCUAAGGCGAGGCUGAAAAGCGUAGUCGAUGGAAAACAGGUUAAUAUUCCUGUACUUCUGGUUAUUGCGAUGGAGGGACGGAGAAGGCUAGGCCAGCUUGGCGUUGGUUGUCCAAGUUUAAGGUGGUAGGCUGAAAUCUUAGGUAAAUCCGGGGUUUCAAGGCCGAGAGCUGAUGACGAGUUGCCUUUAGGCGACGAAGUGGUUGAUGCCAUGCUUCCAAGAAAAGCUUCUAAGCUUCAGAUAACCAGGAACCGUACCCCAAACCGACACAGGUGGUUGGGUAGAGAAUACCAAGGCGCUUGAGAGAACUCGGGUGAAGGAACUAGGCAAAAUGGCACCGUAACUUCGGGAGAAGGUGCGCCGGUGAGGGUGAAGCACUUGCUGCGUAAGCCCACGCCGGUCGAAGAUACCAGGCCGCUGCGACUGUUUAUUAAAAACACAGCACUCUGCAAACACGAAAGUGGACGUAUAGGGUGUGACGCCUGCCCGGUGCCGGAAGGUUAAUUGAUGGGGUUAGCUAACGCGAAGCUCUUGAUCGAAGCCCCGGUAAACGGCGGCCGUAACUAUAACGGUCCUAAGGUAGCGAAAUUCCUUGUCGGGUAAGUUCCGACCUGCACGAAUGGCGUAACGAUGGCGGCGCUGUCUCCACCCGAGACUCAGUGAAAUUGAAACGCCUCUCAGCGCUUACACACCCUGCCUAUCAACGUCGUAGUCUUCGACGGCCCUUCAGGGAGCUCUAGGCUCCAGUGAGAUCUCAUCUUGAGGCAAGUUUCCCGCUUAGAUGCUUUCAGCGGUUAUCUUUUCYGAACAUACCACCCUGGCAACUUUGAGGUUCUAACUCAGGUCCGUUAUCCGGAUCGAGGACAGUGUAUGGUGGGUAGUUUGACUGGGGCGGUCUCCUCCUAAAGAGUAACGGAGGAGUACGAAGGUGCGCUCAGACCGGUCGGAAAUCGGUCGUAGAGUAUAAAGGCAAAAGCGCGCUUGACUGCGAGACAGACACGUCGAGCAGGUACGAAAGUAGGUCUUAGUGAUCCGGUGGUUCUGUAUGGAAGGGCCAUCGCUCAACGGAUAAAAGGUACUCCGGGGAUAACAGGCUGAUACCGCCCAAGAGUUCAUAUCGACGGCGGUGUUUGGCACCUCGAUGUCGGCUCAUCACAUCCUGGGGCUGAAGCCGGUCCCAAGGGUAUGGCUGUUCGCCAUUUAAAGUGGUACGCGAGCUGGGUUUAGAACGUCGUGAGACAGUUCGGUCCCUAUCUGCCGUGGACGUUUGAGAUUUGAGAGGGGCUGCUCCUAGUACGAGAGGACCGGAGUGGACGAACCUCUGGUGUUCCGGUUGUCACGCCAGUGGCAUUGCCGGGUAGCUAUGUUCGGAAAAGAUAACCGCUGAAAGCAUCUAAGCGGGAAACUUGCCUCAAGAUGAGAUCUCACUGGAGCCUUGAGCUCCCUGAAGGGCCGUCGAAGACUACGACGUUGAUAGGCAGGGUGUGUAAGCGCUGUGAGGCGUUGAGCUAACCUGUACUAAUUGCCCGUGAGGCUUGACCAUAUAACACCCAAGCAAUU